AGACUAUUGGAUUUCCCACCACUACAAUGUCAACCUGCUGUGCAACACAGAUCCGUGUUGUGUGUUCCGAGCUGCGACUGUUCUCUCUGACUCCUGGCUCCAGCUCCGCAGCCAGCUGUGGCCAGAGCACCAUAGCUUCGAAUUCAUCUCCAACCUUAUACAAGCCCUGGAUGGCACGGUUAUGACAAGAGAGAGAUUGAGGAUCCUGACCCUUCAGUUCUUCCCUCCGUCUCCUCCUCUCCGGAGAAACUUCUCAACUUCACUUCAUCUGUUUUCUCCA